AAAAAAAACAACCAAUUACAUAGGGCUGGAGAGAUGGCUCAGUGGUUGAGAGCACUUGCUGUUCUUCCAGAGGACCUGAGUUCUAUUCCCAGCACCCACAACCGAAGGCUCCUUCACGAGAAAUCUGACACUUCUGACCUUUGAGGGCACCUUCACUAGUACACACACACACACACACACACACACACACACACACACACACACAGGAGGUCUGGGGUUAAGCCCCCAGUCCUGGAUUAGCCAUCUCCCAGCCUUAUUGUUAAUGUUAACGUAAGGAGCAUGUAAAGAGACUGUGAAAACGAAGUUGUAAACGGUCUGGAAGGAGAGACAUGCUUGGAAGGCAACAGGAGUGGUUAAGUGAAUGUGUAUGUUGCUGAUAGAUAAGCAUAGAGGAAAGUUCAGAGGAAACGUAUAAAAACCAAGGAGGAACCAGAACAAAACAUUGAGAUGUGCCGAGCAUGAGAUGCUGUCCAAGCCCCGAAGCAAACUCUCCCCCACCAACCAAGCGACCCCGUGCCAGAUCAAGAUGGAGCACUGAGCUGGAGCCCUGGUAUCCAGUUGGCACUACACUUUACUGUGCAAGCAGAUCAAGAGGAACAAGAAGACUCGAAACCCAAACCUGAACGUGGAGUUCACCAGGCAAUCAUUGAGCACCUGCUGUAUGGAGAGACUGGAAACAGCUGUACCAGCAGGAGGAAGCUCUGCAUCAGGAGAAACAAAAAUCUGAGGAUCUGGAGAGAUGGCCCAGCAGUUAGGAGCACCCAGCUUACACCCACCUGCAACUCCAGCUACCGGACAUCUGAUCCCCUCUUCUGGCCUUGGAAGACACCAAACUCACAUGGACAAACCCACACAUGGAUGUACGCAUACACAUACAUAUAAUUAAUUUUUUAAAUCCAAGAUAAAAUAAAACAAAAUAAAAACAGAGAAGAAAAAAAUCAAAGAUA